rnacentral:rRNA from 1 species
UGGUUGGACGAGGUAAUAGCUGUCUUUAUUUAAUAUAUAUUAGAAUUUAACUUUUAAGUCAAAAGGCUUAAAUUUAAUUGAUAGACGAGAAGACCCUAUAGAUCUUUAUUUAUAGAGUUAUGAGUUGGAUUUGGAUUAAUUUAAAGCUUGUAACUCUAUGAAUUUUAUUGGGGUAAUAUAAAGAUUAAAAAAAUUCUUUGAAUAGAUUGAACAAUGAUUAUUGACAAAUUGAUCCAUUAGUAUUGAUUAGAAGAUUAAGUUAC